rnacentral:snoRNA from 1 species
CUUUAUGAUGAAUAGACUCCACAUAGUCUUUUUACUAUCCGGCGAUGAUUUUUAAAAUAUGUGCCAUGGAUAAAAACAUGCAUCACCAUCUGAAU